GCUGCUGAGAGAUCUUCUGAAGAGUCCAGACUGCAGACUGCAGACCCUCAGGAUCACAGGAGAGACGUUCAGAGCCAAGAUCCAGAAGACCUGUGACAGGAAGUGAAGAGACACAGAAAGGAACUCUGAGUCCUGCGGCAGGAAGCGGUCCUUCUCUCCAAGAACUCCUGGAGCCAGGCCUGCAAGCUGGUCCAGAACCAGAGUCCAACCGGUCGACCUCGUGAAGUUAAACUAAACUACACAAUUAUUAAAGAUCAUGUUUAAAGUUAAAAAUGGAUGCUUUCAGACUGCAGGGUUUCCCACACAUAGACUCUACUUGUAUACAGGUCUAUUAACGGCCGCCAAAGUAUAUUUCGCGACCCAUUUAGUUUAGUUUUUUAUCCGUCCGCAAGCAAGACACCAUCUGCGAUCGAUGAGCUAGUGGACAAUGAUCCCUCGCUCUACGCCUCCUGUACCUGUUCGCUCUGUGUUGGGAAAAUACUGAAUGUUCCUUCUGUAUCAGAGUAGCACAUGAUAACAGAGGCCCUACGUAGCUGUGUACGUAGCUGGAUGUCUGACUACAUGGAUGACGCUCAUGAGACACUGUGUUGAAGUUAUGAUAGCUAUGUUCCUCAGAUUGGCAUGAUGACACAGCCCCUAGAGAGAUAGGCAUAUGACUGUCAUGUGUAUUGCUUACGCAGGCCUUAGCUAAUCUGAACUAAUGUCAGAAUACUGCUUUGAACCAGUGUUCCUCCAUCUUGUUGACUGUCACUCCCUCUCUUGUAUAUAAGCAUAUCAAGGACUCUACUCUGGGAACUAUUUGUCCCACGCAGCUCUGUGUGUGAAGACUACUUCCAUUCUUGAGAGGAUAAUAAAUACAUGGAUCCUGAUAUUGAAGCUCAAGCCGGUGACGAGUGAUAUUUGUAUAACACUCUGCUACCGCGUGAAGGGUCUGCUAACAAGCGACCAACAGAAAGGGAGACCUCACGAGAAACAGAGAAGACGACGUAAACAUCGUUUCUCUGACUGCAGUCAAAGCAGAUACUUUGUGGAAUAUAAAAAUGAAACUAUAAGAAUUACUCAGAAUGUUCUUUUACAAAUAUUUCAAAUGUUUCUAUCCGAGUGCUUUCCUCAUGAAUUAUCCAUAAAUCUAGGAGUUUGUUUUCUGUGUAUUUCAUAAUCUUAGAGGAUAUUUGAUUUCAUGUAACUUUCAGAUCAGACAUGUUUUUAUUGCGUUUCUACAAUGCAUAACAAGGGUUUGUCCUUUCAGAAAUGGAAAGCUAAAUGUAUGCAAAUACAAAUGACACAAUUGUUUGUAAUGGUUAUAUGUAAGAAGAGAAAAAUAAAAAACAACAGAAUGAGA